CGAGUGGCGAACGGGUGAGUAAUACAUCGGAACGUGUCCGCUCGUGGGGGACAACCAGCCGAAAGGUUGGCUAAUACCGCAUGAGUUCUACGGAAGAAAGAGGGGGACCCGCAAGGGCCUCUCGCGAGCGGAGCGGCCGAUGACUGAUUAGCCGGUUGGUGAGGUAACGGCUCACCAAAGCAACGAUCAGUAGCUGGUAUGAGAGGACGACCCGCCACACUGGGACUGAGACACGGCCCAGACUCCUACGGGAGGCAGCAGUGGGGAAUUUUGGACAAUGGGCGCAAGCCUGAUCCAGCUAUUCCGCGUGUGGGAUGAAGGCCCUCGGGUUGUAAACCACUUUUGUAGAGAACGAAAAGACACCUUCGAAUAAAGGGUGUUGCUGACGGUACCUGAAGAAUAAGCACCGGCUAACUACGUGCCAGCAGCCGCGGUAAUACGUAGGGUGCGAGCGUUAAUCGGAAUUACUGGGCGUAAAGCGUGCGCAGGCGGUUGAGUAAGACAGAUGUGAAAUCCCCGAGCUUAACUCGGGAAUGGCAUAUGUGACUGCUCGACUAGAGUGUGUCAGAGGGAGGUGGAAUUCCACGUGUAGCAGUGAAAUGCGUAGAUAUGUGGAAGAACACCGAUGGCGAAGGCAGCCUCCUGGGACAUAACUGACGCUCAGGCACGAAAGCGUGGGGAGCAAACAGGAUUAGAUACCCUGGUAGUCCACGCCCUAAACGAUGUUAACUAGUUGUUGGGAAGUAAUAUUCUCAGUAACGCAGCCAACGCGAGAAGUUAACCGCCUGGGAAGUACGGUCGCAAGACUAAAACUCAAAGGAAUUGACGGGGACCCGCACAAGCGGUGGAUGAUGUGGAUUAAUUCGAUGCAACGCGAAAAACCUUACCUACCCUUGACAUGUCAGGAAGGUCUUGUAGAUGAGAGCGUGCCCGCAAGGGAGCCUGAACACAGGUGCUGCAUGGCUGUCGUCAGCUCGUGUCGUG
rnacentral:rRNA from 1 species